rnacentral:rRNA from 1 species
AACGAACGCUGGCGGCAUGCCUAACACAUGCAAGUCGAACGAGACCUUCGGGUCUAGUGGCGCACGGGUGCGUAACGCGUGGGAACCUGCCCUUAGGUUCGGAAUAACUCCCCGAAAGGGGUGCUAAUACCGGAUAAUGUCUUCGGACCAAAGAUUUAUCGCCUUUGGAUGGGCCCGCGUUGGAUUAGCUAGUUGGUAGGGUAAAAGCCUACCAAGGCGACGAUCCAUAGCUGGUCUGAGAGGAUGAUCAGCCACACUGGGACUGAGACACGGCCCAGACUCCUACGGAAGGCAGCAGUGGGGAAUAUUGGACGAGGGGCGAAAGCCUGAUCCAGCAAUGCCGGGUAAGUGAUGAAGGCCUUAGGGUUGUAAAGCUCUUUUACCCGGGAUGAUAAUGACGGUACCGGGAGAAUAAGCUCCGGCUAACUCCGUG